UACGUAGGGUGCAAGCGUUAAUCGGAAUUACUGGGCGUAAAGCGUGCGCAGGCGGUUUUGUAAGUCUGAUGUGAAAUCCCCGGGCUCAACCUGGGAAUUGCAUUGGAGACUGCAAGGCUAGAAUCUGGCAGAGGGGGGUAGAAUUCCACGUGUAGCAGUGAAAUGCGUAGAGAUGUGGAGGAACACCGAUGGCGAAGGCAGCUCCCUGGGUCAAGAUUGACGCUAAUGCACGAAAGCGUGGGGAGCAAACAGG
rnacentral:rRNA from 1 species